AAGGAGAAAAUAAACAAUUUAAGAAGGGAUGUAGUUGACUGUCUGCAGUAUGUCAAACUUUUUUGCCACGUUGCAUUGUAUGCAUACUUGCAGUGUAACGAUGUCCAUUUCCGUUGAAAAAGUGAUAAAGAUGCUGGACGACAAGAUAAUAUCAGGAUUAUAGACUCGGUAAUAGUUUAGCAUCACAAAAACUCUAAAAAGAAAGCAGACAGGCCCCUUCAUACAAGAGCAGCGUCGGCACUGCCCUUCUAUUUACGGAAUGUUAAGUUAUCUCAAAUUAAUCUUGGUGACAAUAGUAUUAUAUUGUUACGGGUUGCAGGUGCCAUGCAGAUAUCUCAAAGAAUUAAGCAGCUGUACCUGCAAUGACUAAAGAUGAAGCCGACGUACUGUUUAACGAAGGAGAAUAUUUUUUUAUGAGGAUGAGUUUCAUUGAUCCAUAAAUUUCUUCUGAGGAAGAUCCUGAAGAACAUACUCGAGCACUGGGAACGACAAAUAAUGACCCAAAGACUUGUUAAUGCACGGAAAUAAUUUCCGUUAAUUGCAUCAAAAUAUUAUUUAAAUAUGCCACAAAUUUUAGUUAGAUGUGCAUGCAUAAAUGUGCGUGUUCCGGCUUUUUUUUGAGACAAAAACAGGUUUUCUAAAAAAACUGCUCAUCUUUGAAAUCAGUCAGCGUUUAUAAUUUGCAUGAUUUUGCUGUAAAUGAUGCCCAAAGAAAUUACAUACGAAAUGCGGCUCUUGUAAUUGCAAA